rnacentral:rRNA from 1 species
AACGAACGCUGGCGGCAUGCCUAACACAUGCAAGUCGAACGAACCCUUCGGGGUUAGUGGCGCACGGGUGCGUAACGCGUGGGGAUCUGCCCAAAGGUUCGGAAUAACUCAGAGAAAUUUGAGCUAAUACCGGAUAAUGUCUUCGGACCAAAGAUUUAUUGCCUUUGGAUGAACCCCGCGUAGGAUUAGCUUGUUGGUGGGGUAAAGGCCUACCAAGGCGACGAUCCUUAGCUGGUCUGAGAGGAUGAUCAGCCACACUGGGACUGAGACACGGCCCAGACUCCUACGGGAGGCAGCAGUGGGGAAUAUUGGACAAUGGGACGAAAGCCUGAUCCAGCAAUGCCGCGUGAGUGAUGAAGGCCUUAGGGUUGUAAAGCUCUUUUACCAGGGAUGAUAAUGACAGUACCUGGAGAAUAAGCUCCGGCUAACUCCGUG